UACGGGGGGGGCAAGCGUUGUUCGGAAUUACUGGGCGUAAAGGGCUCGUAGGUGGCCAACUAAGUCGGACGUGAAAUCCCUCAGCUUAACUGGGGAACUGCGUCCGAUACUGGAUGGCUCGAGUUUGGGAGAGGGAUGCGGAAUUCCAGGUGUAGCGGUGAAAUGUGUAGAUAUCUGGAGGAACACCGGUGGCGAAGGCGGCAUCCUGGACCAACACUGACACUGAGGAGCGAAAGCCAGGGGAGCAAACGGG
rnacentral:rRNA from 1 species